rnacentral:lncRNA from 1 species
AGGAGACACCCUGUAAGUGGCAUAAAACACUUCAAUCACACGUAGCUUUCUGGAGCAACAGACCAUGGGCUGAGGAUUGAGUUUCCGGGAGCCACAGCAAGGCUCUCCAAUGCCAUCUUUCUGUCUCACUGCUGAAAGUCAAGAAUCACAGUGCUGAUCUUCAGAAACUGUGGGUUCAGAAACUCACCUGGUCACUAGAAUUACUCUCCCCACUUUACCUCUGCUACCCCGGAGAUCCCCGAGACCAGUCCCUUUUGGGGAGCCCUUGAUGGCAUCUUCACUAGUAGCCCUUUGGCUCACAUGGGAAUACCCCCAGGGACUCCUCGCAAGAGGGCUAUGAGGGAGGCUUCAUUAUUCUAGUGUUGAAGCCCAGAGUCUCAACCUAAUCAGCGCUUUCCUUCAAGUUCGAGCCUCCAGGAGGAGCCAAGGAGUUUCAACAGCGUUUCAAAGUUCGCAGUUUGUAUUCUGCUGCACCAGAGACAUCAUUGAAUCUUACAGCUGAUGCUACCUUCUUUCCCACACCUGGAUUCACCCAAAGUCCUGGAGAACAGCACAUGGUGGAGAGAAACCCCUAGCCAAUUUUCCCUUCUGAAAGAUAAGAGCAAGACACCUGGGUGAACUGGUGGCUGAGGGACCUCCGCUCCUGGAUACAUGUCCGUAAUCAUUCAUGGAGUGAGAAAAUCGGCCUGUAUGUUACCACUAAAGAAGCUAGUCUUAUAGGGUUGUAUAACUCCAGCAAUUUCAAAGAAAAGCUUCCCUGCCACCCUCCUCAUAGAGCUGUUGACCUGGUAUCCUGGACUUUGAGGAACUAAGAUUGUCACUCACUUAAAGCAAUU